CCACUCUGUGUGCGUGUUUGUGUGUGUCAGUCCUUCAUGUCAGCAUUCAUCAGUUCUUUUGUCACCGGCAGAAACUUUGAUGGCAGCAGCACAGUUGGCCAUGAGUGGUGUCACAACUACCAAAGGCUUAGUUAUGAUUUUGACUCUGCUGUGUCUGCUCCAUCUUUCAAGUGCACUGAUAAACAAGGACGAACUGGAGAAACUGAAGGAAAACGUUGAAACAUUGCAAAAGUUAAUAGCGAGAAGGAAGGCUGAAAAUAAUUUAGACAGAGCCUACGUUCCAGCUAUCUUUUAUGAUUUUGGACGUCUCAUGGAUCCUUUGACUGAAGUUAUGAAGCCAUUGUUGAUUUCUACAUCACUGCUUAGACCAGUGUUGGAUUUAAUGGAUGACGCAAAGACUUUCUUGGGAGCCAGCAUAGAAUACAUGAAUAAGUACUUUGAGACAACAACUGCAGAAAUCAAUGACAAUGAAGAGAAACUACGCAGUGUGAUGGCAACACUAACACAACUAGAAAAGAAUAAAGAUGAACUGUAGCAUGUUAGUCAGCGUCUGUCUCUGGUAUUAAAUGUUCUGUAUCUGUAAAACUUCUCUUUCAUACUGUGCUGCCUCAAAAUCAAAGCUAACUGUACACUUGACUUAUAAACUCUGACAAGAAAAUUUUUUGUCAUACUUUUUCAUUGUCUUUGUUAUAUCAGGUCUAACGCAAACACAAAACACUAAACUGAGAUUUUUGUCUCUUUAGUAAUCAUAUUAAAUCUGACAGUUGUUGAUUUAUGUGUGGAAACACUUUAAUGUGAAUAAAGACAUUAAAGCUGUUAAAACUUCAAACUAAAAAACUAAAUUAAAACUGUAUAUCACUGACAUCAGAUGCACAAUUUAAUGUGCACAAUACAAUAGUACUAUGUUUUGUACAUUUUCAUUUUGUUAUCUUUGUUUGUUUUUAAACACACUUAUCUGUUCACAGACAGAAAAAAAAUCAGAUAAGAGUAGCGUGACAAAUUCUUGUUGCGCAAUCACACAGUUCCUCCUAAUUACUUUAAUAAAUAUGAUACCAAG
ensembl:lncRNA